CGUGUAUAAUCCGAUCCGAAUCCGAAUCCGAUAAAAUUAGAUGGAUCAGGAUAUGGAUCAAGGGUUAUCCGAUCCAUCGACACCCCUAAUUCCUGCUAAUUCUAAAUUCCUGCUAAUGCCCUAUGGAUCUUUUCCUGAUCCGACCUGGGAGUUAACCUCCCACAGCAGCAUUCCUCUUUCUUCUCUCUUUUUCAAAUUUCAAACUAGAACUUCAAAUCAUCUGAGUCAGUUUUACAUCCCACGUUUGUAGGCACGACUUUCAUUUUCAAACUACUCUCCAUCUGCACAUUAUCGAUGUAUUCAAAUUUAUUUCCAUCUUUUAUUCUUUGUUUUUGAAUUGUGGUGAUCCGCCACUUUUUUCAAUUCGUUUCUCAGUUAUGGUAGCCCAUAAUUUCAAUCACUAUCUCCUCCUUCGAUUUCAGAUUUCGACAGACCGGUGAUCUCAAUUUCUUCUCAUUGGUAUUCAUAUUAAUAUUUUGAUAAUGAUUCUUCUUGCACAUAGAUUGCUUGCAUCAGUUUUGGCAUGUCAUUAACCAUGAAUAAUGUCGUAAACGCCUCCCUUUGGGUGUUGUUUCUCCUUCAUCUGUUAAAACUGUGUUGUCAGGACAACGGAGAUGUUAUUCACAGUCUGAUCCUUCUUAUGCACACGACAGAGUCCUGCUAAUGAGCCGUCUGCUAUUCGUGAAAAUGUGGAUCCGAAUAAAGCAACCAUAACAGAGCAAACGUUGGGUGAGUGGUUUUCAUGUAUCUACUAAUUUCACGCCUCAUAUUUUAACAAUGAAUGUUGGAGAGGUAUUGCCUUCUGGUAUGCCAAGUUACUCGCUUUGCCAAAUGGUUCUAUAGUUGAGGCUCCAUUGUCUAUAUAUUUCAUAAUCCACAUUCAACCAGAGCUCCCUCGGAAAAAUGCCUCAUUCAAGGAUUGUCCACAAGACAAAUGUUACAGCUACACGUGCCACAGCUGCUGAACAAUUGGAUAGUGGGAACAUACCUCCUCGAAGCAAAAGAAAGCCAUGUUUUGAUGCGGAAGAUUUGGUACUGAUUGUUGUUGUAAAAAGAUGUGGUGAAGGGACGUUUAAAUAUUUUGUCCCUUUCUGGUUCGUUUUGAUAUAUAACCACUUUUCUGUGCAUUUUUUUCAAAUUGAGCUCUCCGCACUUCUUAUGCUCUGUAUUAAGUUUAAAGAUCUCAGGUAUUCCUUUUCACAUAAGAUAUUAUGUUCUUACUUUGAUUUAUCUUGGUCACUUGGUGCUUAUUUUUCAUUGUGGAGGCAGUUGUAUCAUGCAGUUAUGGCCUUAUAAGGCCACGAUUAAAAGAUGCAAGUUUUCAGUUUGUUCUCUCCUAAUUAGUGUUCUGACGCCAGAGGCGUGCUUUUUGAGUUGACAAGAGAAGGAAGUGGUUGAUGUGUUGAAAAAUAUACACAAGUACAACUGCCUUUUUCAAGGUUGCUUCAAUGGGCUUCUGCAGAAUUUGGAUCAAAGCCUUUCACCCUGGCCACAGUGUUGUGGUGUAGCAAGAAUCAUCAAACUAUACAAACAAAAAGUGCUGGUGUUUCUCUCAUUAGACGGCAGGAGGAUGAAGACAUCGUUGGGGUAAACCAUGGUGCUCGAAGAAAAGGAUGAUAUAAGAUUUUGGAAAUUCAUUAUAUUACCGUAUGAUUUUAUUUUAUUUUAAUUUUGUUAUGGACAAUAGGCAAGCAAAACAACGAAAUCAAGCAGUGUUGUAGUGUUGUAGUAGACUCAUACGUCUAUACAUGUUAAGCCGUCGAUUCAUAUUAAGCUGUUAAUGUGAUAGUAUAAUCUAAUAGCCAA